CAGCAGAGUUGUUUGCCAAAGAGUGACUAUCAAGGCCUUCACUAAUGUUCUAAGGAGGGCACAAUGUUCCACUCCCAAAACAAUGUAACCCAGUGGUUUUCAGCAAGGAAACUGCUAAAUUUCCCAAAGGAUUCCUUACUGUUAGUAAGACUUCUGAAAAUUAACUAGUGAGAAUAAAUGCCACGAAAUCUAACAUUAGUACUCUGAACUGAAUUUGCUUAUGCCGGACCUCUAAACAAUAAAUUGUGUUCUGCUGUGUUGCUAUGCCCGUUCAUGAGGCAUAGCCAUUUUAAAGUAAAGCAUCUUGGAGAUUCCAAAAGAGCAGAAUGGGGAAGGGGUGUACUGCUUUAGGCUAGGGGAAAACAGCAAAAAAAAAAGUGGAUGAAGUAUAUUCUUAGGGGAGACUUGGAGAGCAAACUACAGGAAGUGCUGAGGAAGGAAGAAGGACACCGUGGAUCAUGGUGGAAGGCCCACGUGGACGCAAAGCAGCAAGCACAGACACAGCACAUGACCCAGGAGCCGAGAGCAGGAGACUGCACCAGCUUUGGAGACUGUCGGACACAUUGCUGGGGAAAGCCAGACAUGAGCCUCCUUCAGCACCGGACACAGCCUAGGAUCCUGCUGGGCUCAGGACCUCCCCUCCCAUCUCUAGUCCCACGAGGAAUGUUUGUUCCCGUUCUCUGCUGGGGGAGUUUUUUCAUGGCGGGGCCUCAUCCUCGACGAAGCUGUGGGACUCAGAGCCAGGCUCUGUGUGGCCCGACGAUCCUGCUGACCCUGGCCUCCUGCAGACCAUGGGCCGCCAUACCCCUGGCCGCAUUUCCAGCUUUUCAAGUGGGAAGAAACCACCCCGUGUCCCAGGACUUGCACUUCUGUGGGCCAUCCUCAGCAAGGUUCGGAGUCAGUGGGGGUGGGCAGCGGCUCAGCCAUGAAGAAGCCGAGAAGCGAUGUCUGCCUCCCCUCCUCCCUCCCAGAAGAUCUGGAUGUGAAACUAACCCAGAGUGGACGCUGAAGCUCAGCUGCCAAGUAAUCUCCCAUUCCCGGAGAGACUGCACAGCUUCCUGCUCAAUGCCAGCUGGGCCUUCAUCCUGGAGAGGAGCAACUGGUAACAGCACUGUCCCUCGUGCCCUCAUAGCUAGAUUGCCAAGCAGCUGUUUGGAAGCAAGUCUUCCCACUACACCAGCCCUGCACAUUGUGUGUCCUCCAGAGGCACCAUAGAUUGGAAAUGAAUCCUGGUGCCUGGCUAGCAAGACAGCAGUAGCCAGUGAGACAUGACGAGAUCUCAGAAGGAGAGUAUAUGUGUGAACUUAUCCUCAGGCUCCUCUGUACCCUAGCUUUACUGCAAACACACAGGUAAAGUAUAAAUGGUGUCCACCUCAGAAAUGAAUCGCAUUCUGAGGCUUUUUACUCAUUCUCCUUCUAGUGCUUGGCUUACAGAGUGGGUAUAGAAUGAUGGAGUUACAUACAUGUGUGUUACUUUCUGAGUGCAUCCUUUAAUUCUCCCUGCCUAGGGCAUCAUUGCUCUUCAAGGGCAGGGGAAAAACCACCUCAGAUCAUAUAUUUAUAUCUUCUCUUCUCCCUGAACACUUUGUAACUCUCAGAAUCUUCUAGAAUCCAGGCACAGACAUUCAUGGAUACUCUAUCUUUUCAGUAGGCAAGAGAUUUUAGAAAGGGAAGCAGUUCUCCUGCCCUGCACCUAUUUUCACUGCACAAAAGUCAGUCAUAUCAAGUGUACAAGUUUAGUAACUGGAGGCCACUGGUGGGCUGCAGCCCAAUUCCAAAAGAAAGACAAUUAUUAUUUUUGGAAACAGUGUCCAAACUAAAAUAAUGCAGAUACAGUAGCCUGUCAAUAGAGUCCUUAAUAUUUUUCCUAAUCCUUUUUAUCCUUGGAGUUGGUGCUUUCUCAUGUAAAGAACCUACAGAAUCAUAGACUUAAUGCUGACUUAAGUUGGCUUUCCCAAAUAUCAAAUAUCAGGCAUUAUCUGUAGUUGAGGACCUUCAUGAGUUUGAAGAUCAUGUCAUUUUACACGGAGCCUUCUCUGUAAGGAUAAGACAAAGGGAUUUGUCCUUUGCUAAAAUGUUCAGUGGUGUAGCAGUAGAAAGGGGGGUCUGCCACUGUAGCACAGUGAGCUAAGCUGCUGUCUGCAGUGCCUGCAACCCUAUAUGGGCUCUGGUUUGAGUCCCAACUGUACUGUUUCUGAUCCAGCUCCCUGCUGAAGGCCUGGGAAAGCAGUGGGAGAUGGCACAAGUUCUUGUUCCACUGCACCCCCUUGGGACAUCCAGAGGAUGCUUCUGGCUCCCGAGUGGGGCCUGGCCUAGUCCUGGGUAUUGCAGCCAUUUGGGGAGUACAUUGAAUAUCUGUCUCUCUCUCCCCCUCUCCUUCUCUCUCUCUCUCAAACUGCAUUUCAAAUAAAUUUUAAAAAGUUCUUACUAGAAGAAAGAUC
ensembl:lncRNA